UGUGUGUGUGUGUGUGUGUGUGUGUGUGAGUUUGUAAAACCUACCAACCGGGGAAAAUCGUAUGAAUACACACCAACAAACCGGGGAACACCUACCAACCGGGGAAUUCCCCGGUUGGUUUUAGGCGAAAAUCUCUAAUCUACGUGUAUGAAAUACCAAACUGUCAAUUUAAAUUAGAAAUCCAACGCCUUCCCCGAUUAGCGGGUUUGUGGCAUGCACAAAAUAUACACAAAUCUUGACAAAAUUACAAUCGAGUGUGUAUCCAGGCUUAUAACAGUUCCCCGGUUGCGCUGUUUAAAAAUCAUACACUCGGUAUUUAUAUCAUUUAGUGAAAGUAAGUUGGAAAAAUGGAGUUUCGAGCGAACAAACGCAUUAAACUAAGUAGCCAAAAGGGUCCAAGUCCCCUUGAUCUCGCAAGAACGUACUGUCAGAAUUACGUUGAUCCACCAGGUUUUGAAGUAAAAACCGUCAAUGAUGUCAUAGGCGAAGGAGUCUUUGCCACUGAGCCUUUUAAAAAAGGAGACUUUCUUCUCGAAUACAAAGGGGAUCUGAUAACACGAGCAAAACAUGCACGGCAAUUAGAAAAGGAGUAUGAAAAGGAGGGUCAAGGCAGCUUCAUUUACUUUUUUAAAUACAGUGACAAAUCUUGCUGAAAAGAGUACUUCAAAUACCAGGAGAACAUAACAAGCAGCCAAAAAUCAAUGGAGUGAAAACGAAAAAGGAGCUGUUCACAGACACUUUGAUCGUUUUUUGAUAGUGGGUAAAUUACCAGAGAAAAAAGAAAUACUUGCAUGAAUUGAAAGUGAGAAUGACCUUCGCAACAGAAGUUGGAAAAAUGUCAAAGACUUUUGCAGAAAUUUGAUUGAAACAAAAAAGCGACGGGGACUUUUAACUUAAAAAAAUAUUACACAUAUAAUGCACGUUUAGAAGAAUACGUUAAAGGAUGAAGUUGCCACAUUUUGUUGUGUUUUCUUGUUCUAUAUACUCUUUUCGAAAACGAUAUAUGUGUGCUUAUUGUAUUUGAAUGUUUUAUUAAUACGGUUUUGCCAAAAACGAUAUUUGUUCAUAAUCAUAUCGCCGAACAAAUUAGGAUUGGUAUAUAGUUCGGCCAAUGAGUGUUUCUUUGUACUUUCUAUUACGAGUUUCUACGAGUUACUCACUAUACAAGUUAUUUUUUACCCUAAAUUUGUUGAAUAUGAAUGAAUAUAGCAAACAUGAUAACAAAUCAAUCUAGAAGGCUAAACGUUCAGAGAAGGCACACAAAAAAUUCAGUCGGAUAAAAUUUACAUUUUAAAUAACAUAAAAAAACUACUGCUAAACCACUGCUAUAAUAUGAAGAAUACAAAUGAAUAUUUUGUCAAUUUUACAAAAUUUGUUUUGAAUGACAGGUGUCUGACUUGUAGUUGAGUACUUAAUAGUUAUUUUAAAGUAAACAUUUACCAAAAUGUAACUUAUUGCGUAAAUAUCGCACUAGAAUUGAUUAAAUAGUUGUUAAAUAUUACAAUAAUUUCCUACACAGAUUUUUGUGCAUUUGUUUUGCGUGUAGAUAUUCACAUUAGCUAUCAAUUCACAUAUUUGCUUUGUGUAUAUAAUUGGUAUGUUUAUAUAUAUUUUCAUAUCAAAAUUGCUUGAUCUACAAAAAUUCGCGAGGAGUUAUGCAUUUUUUCCCAUGUUUUUAUUGAAGUUUAUAAUUCAACGACGAUGAAAAUUACUAAGAUGCCAGAUUUAGUUAUGUUUUUUUUCUCAUUUAUGGUUAAAGAUCAAUUAACAUACCCAUUUCCCAGACUAAGAUAUUGUUAAAACAAUUUAUCGCGUUUGCGACUGACCUCUUUUAUGCAUUCUAACACAAGCUAUUUACUUGUUUUUUCGAAUACUCUUCAUAUACACACACUUGAACAAGCUGUAGAUUACCUAGAACACAACAUAUUUGAAACAUAUAUUUAUAUGUGAUGUGUAAAUGCAGGCACAAAGCUAAUAAUUAAUAAUGUUUAUACACUUUGCGAUAUGAUGCUAUAAUGUCGGUUGUUUUAAGUGAUUAAUCAUUAUGUUAACCAUGUUAUCUGCCAUCUGAAAUGUAAUUGAGUGUUUUGACAUGUAUGCGAAAUUGAUCUUGUUCGAUUUGGUGCUGUAUAUUCAGAAUUGAGUCACACUGUUAUAAUUUUCCUGUUGGUACAUAUUAUUUUUAAGUUGGCACCAACAAGGGUUUAACAAUUGAUCCACAUGUGCACUCCCAGUAAGUAUAUAUACUAUAAUGUAAGUGAUUCAAAAUAAUAUUAAACUACGUGUUUGAUAAGUGUUUGCUUUGGUUCAUAUUUAAUUAUUAGUGUUUUUAUAUAAUGAUAAUGCUGUCAAAGUCAGCGGUGAUUAUACGUGUAUAACAACAUUAAUUAUUACUUUUAUAUUGUUUUCAACAAAUAACAUAUGGAUGACACAUCGGCAUAAUUUUUCAGUGCUUAAAAUACACUCUUUCUAUUAUAUUUUAUGCAAAAAUUAGGUACAUAAGUUGGUUAACAUAAAGGUAGUUUGAACAAAAUACGUGAAUUCAAAUCUUAAAAAAGGUGUUUGGUUUGCAAGGGAAAACAAAGCGACUGCCAGUGACUAUUUUCCUUAAAAUAUAAUCUGUUAUUUCGACAGGUAGAAUUAAAUGUAAGUUCAUUAUUAACGUUAACCCGUUUUUGGCAUUCUCUACUCAAACAAGUGCAUACAUACUGUAUUUUUUUAAUACAGCACAUGUGUAAUGGUAUCACAGUUGUAGAAUUAAAAUACAUAUAUUAUAACAAUAACUACUGAUCAUUAUUCAGAUUGACCUACCGCCGUAGACUAAGUUACUGUCGCGUCAAAAUGCAUUGUUAUCAAGUCGUUUUGCUAGUUUACUUAACUAUUUAGUUUCUCAAGCCUCGCCACAUUCGUUGUGAAACGUUCAUGAUUGUUUAAAGUUACAGAUUUUAUUAUUUUUGAAAAUGCAAUAAAUGUAUUUAAAACAAUUUAAGUGAAGUGGAAGUUGCCAUGCGUGUGAAUGAAUUUUCUGAUGUUUACCUGUUUCAGGGGAUUAAAUGCAUGAGUUAUUUUAUAAUCUCAGAGUAAGGACAAAGAAAAUUUACACUAUUCAAUCUAUAUGCAUAUGGGCAGUUCUACUUUUAGGAUAAAAAACUUCAUAGUAGGUGAAAAUCGUGAAUGCUUUUUUCUGAUGGAAAAAAUGAAUUAAACAAAUAAGCCGCCUCCCCCUCUCCUUCAUUCGGUUUGACAAAUAGCGUGGCCUGAAAAAAAUAACAUUAUUUUUUAGUUUUAAGAACGAAUUGUAUUCAUUUGUUGAUUAAUUGCACCAUGAUUGUUAUGGUAUAAUGCAGCACUUGCAUGCUUGUAGUCGGCUUAUAGCUAAUGAAGUCAUUAAUGUAUUGUUUGAUUUGCGUUUUGUCUCUUAUGCUUAUUUUGAUGUGAAUAAUAUUUGAGUCAAUCAAAUAAGGCAUUUUUGUAUAACUUAUAUAAGGUCAUAUGAUAAACAUAUUUAAUUUAAAUAUUGUUUCAUACAUAUUCUUUUCAAUUUUUGUACUAACUUAAAUAUUAUCCAUGAACGUGCACGCCAUUGUCCUAUUAACAACGGUACCAAGAUUACACACAAUUACCCCUGUUGGUAAACGCAAAGUCCCCGUUGGACAUUAUUGAAGCUCCACGGUGAUAGCGCGCUUAAGUUCCUCUCUUGGUUAACACAAUUCCCCUGUUGGCACACAUUAAAGUUACACGGUUGGUACGCACAUAGCACCCCUGCUGGUAUACACCCUUCCCCAGUUGGAACACAUUGACGUGCCACAGUUGGAACGCACUAAGUUCCCCUGUUGGUACACAUUGAAGUUCCACAGUUGGUACGCACUUAGUACCCCUGUUGGUAUACACCGUUCCCCAGUUGGCACACAUCGCAGUUCCUCAUUUGGUACGCACAUAAUUCCCCGGUGUGCAUGUAAAAUUUUCUUUGAUUUAUUACCCUAUUUAUCAUAAU